rnacentral:rRNA from 1 species
CAGUAGCCGCGAUAAUACGGAGGGUGCAAGCGUUAAUCGGAAUUACUGGGCGUAAAGCGCACGCAGGCGGUCUGACAAGUCAGAUGUGAAAUCCCCGGGCUUAACCUGGGAACUGCAUUUGAAACUGUCAGGCUGGAGUCUUGUAGAGGGGGGUGGAAUUCCAGGUGUAGCGGUGAAAUGCGUAGAGAUCUGGAGGAAUACCGGUGGCGAAGGCGGCCCCCUGGACAAAGACUGACGCUCAGGUGCGAAAGCGUGGGGAGCAAACAGGAUUAGAUACCCGAGUAGUCCCUGUCUCUUAUAC